rnacentral:rRNA from 1 species
AUGAGCUCCUUUAGAAGAGAAGGACAGGUUCUAGUUAUGUCCUCCAAGCCAUCAGCCGCAGUUAUCUCUUUCAAAUUAGCAGGAGUCUUGAUGAACUCAAAGCAAACCUCCUUCGAUCCACCACAGUUGUGCUACUCAGCUUGUGUAAGAAUAGUUGUCACUGAGCUCACGUCUACGUGUUCACACAAAUUCUUUUCACACAGUGCUUUCAGCCUCUGGAGAUCAUAUCUAUCCGCCGCUGCGAGCAAGUGUUGCAGCCACAAUGCUUCCUGGGCUUCUUCCUCAUCCCCCGUGUCCGUCUCCAUCUCAGGCAAUGAGUCGGUGUAA